GGCUCAGACAGCACGUGGGUGCUGGGUGUGCGGAAGUGAAUGUUGAGCACGAUGACACAGAUCACCACGACCAUGGCCACCAGCACCAUGCCAAAGAGCAGGAACCUGUAGGCGCAGGUGACCUUGGACAAGCGGCCUAACCUCUCUGUGCCUCAGAUUCCUCAACUGUUAAAUGUUGGGAGGACAGAGUGAGAGAGUAUGCCUUAAAUGCUCCGACUCUGCCUGGCAGUGGGUGAGAGCUCAAGGAACACUU